AAGGAGCCCUCUAUCCCAAAGUGCCCAGACCCUCAGCAGUGCCAGAAGUCCAAGCAGAAGUGAACCCCAGGCAUGGGCCAGAGGCCAAGCUCCCUGCAGAACAGAGAACAUGAAGCCAACUCCCCUCUCUCAGCCAGCUAGCUGUCAGCACCGCUCACCGCCAGCUUCUGGAAGCAGCCACAGUUGUGGAAAAGGCAGCACCAAGAUGGCAGCUUCCUGGAUCAACAUUUUUUAUGAAUUAGCAGCUGCAGUUCCCAUUUAGCAAAGGAUCCGGUUCUAAACCUUCUAAUCUUCGUUGCUGACUUGUAUACUUUGCCCUUUUGGCUGCUUGGAAGCUUAAGCAGCAUGCCCGACCACCCUUUCCUAGCACACUUCGUCUCUGCUCCAUUUUUCAAACAAUUAAACACAACUCCGCUGCCA